rnacentral:ncRNA from 1 species
UCUACCAUAAUUCCCGACGGUUCCCGUUUGGGGAUCAAAAGGGAAUGCGGUGCGGGGAAAUCCCCCAAUUCCGCGGCUGCCCCCGCAACUGUAAGCGGCGAAUCCUUCGUCACACGCCACUGGGCAUCUCGGUCCUGGGAAGGCGACGAUGGGGUAACGACCCGCGAGCCAGGAGACCUGCCGUCAGCCGUGGUCACAC